GACGAACGCUGGCGGCGUGCUUAACACAUGCAAGUCGAACGGCAAGGCCCCUUUGGGGUUCCUCGAGUGGCGAACGGGUGAGUAACACUUGAGUAACCUGCCCUUGACUUCGGGAUAACUUCAGGAAACUGGGGCUAAUACCGUAUAGGAAUCCUUGCUGCAUGGUGGGGGUUGGAAAGCUUCGGCGGUUUUGGAUGGACUUGCGGCUUAUCAGCUUGUUGGUGGGGUAGUGGCUUACCAAGGCUUUGACGGGUGGACGGCCUGAGAGGGCGACCGGCCACAGUGGGACUGAGAUACGGCCCAGACUCCUACGGGAGGCAGCAGUGGGGAAUAUUGCACAAUGGGCGGAAGCCUGAUGCAGCAACGCCGCGUGCGGGAUGACGGCCGUCGGGUUGUAAACCGCGUUCAGCAGGGGCGAAGCUUGUGGUGACGGUACCUGCAGAAGAAGCACCGGCUAACUACGUG
rnacentral:rRNA from 1 species